rnacentral:miRNA from 1 species
UCACGCGGAUUGCAUCUUUCAA